GAAUCAGUAGCUCAAUUGGUAGAGCAGCGCCCUUUUAAGGCGCGGGUUCAAGGUUCGAUUCCUUGCUGGUUCA
rnacentral:tRNA from 1 species